rnacentral:misc_RNA from 1 species
GCAAACUUGGUCAUUUAGAGGAAGUAAAAGUCGUAACAAGGUUUCCGUAGGUGAACCUGCGGAAGGAUCAUUAACAAGCCGUGAAGGUCGCCCCGAAAGGGGAGUGACCUCUCACCUGGCCACCCUUGUUUACUCUUAACCUGUUGCUUUGGUGGGCCCGCCGCAAGGCCGCUGGGGGACUUUGUUUGGUUCCCGGGCCAGUGCCCACCAAAGACCAAUGAACUCUGAGAGGGUUUUCUGCUGUCUGAGCUGUGCAAAUGCAAAAAGUCUAUUUAAAACUUUCAACAACGGAUCUCUUGGUUCUGGCAUCGAUGAAGAACGCAGC